UCGGCCCCGGCCGCGCAGGCUGGAACGGAGUGGGAGGGGGAUCCAGAGAGACCCAGGUGCCCCGGCCGUCCAGCCUCGCGCCGGCCGUCGUUUUUCUGAAACUCGGGCUGCGAGGGGGAGACCGCUUCCGCCCGCCUACCAGGCGCUCUGGCACAUCCUAGGCAGGCCUGGGGCUGCGUCCCGCGACCUCCUCUCCUUCCCAGGCUGUGCUGGGAGCCUGAGAGCCUUUGCCGCCUGCACCUCUUGUUCCCUGGCCUUUGGGAGGGCGGCGCAGGGGAACCCAGCCCCUCUUCCCUCGGGUCUGCGGGUGUCUGCUCCCCUUCCUCGGAAUCCCCCAGUCCUGCCCGUCCCCUGGCGCCCUCUCCUCGUUCACCCCAGUCCGCAGAUGGGCCAGGGAGGAAGGGCUCUCCUUCCCAGAGGUGCCAGCUUCCCCCGCCACUCCUACGUCAAAAGCUAGAGAAAUAGCAUUACUCCUGUGCGGAGCCCUGGCGCGAGGAGGCCCUCCCCGCAGCUCGCCGGUGUGUGUCCUGAACUUCAGUCCUGCAGGACUUCAUCCUCCCGGAGUCCUGUGUGACUUCUAAGAGAGAGGAAGCCCCACCAUCUCAGUGCGGUGUGGGGGUUGCCUGGCGGGGAGGAGGAGCCAAGGCAUCUCGGAGUGGUGGUUCUGCCACCUCAGAGGAUUUACGAUUCUCAGGAAUGUGAGGAGCCAAGAGAUGAGAGAAGAGCCACCAGCAAAUCCUGGGGACACCAUCACCAGCCAAGUCCCAGGACUUCUGAGCUUUGGUUCUCCCAUCUGUGAGAUGGAGGCAUUGGGCGAUGUGAUGCCUGCCUUCUCUAGAAUUGUAGAAAUGACAUGAAGUACCUGAGCCUCUUAUUAAAGUUUUAAAUGCUGAA